rnacentral:rRNA from 1 species
UAGGGAAUCUUCUGCAAUGGACGCAAGUCUGACGGAGCAACGCCGCGUGAGUGAAGAAGGAUUUCGGUUCGUAAAACUCUGUUGUUAGAGAAGAACAGCGCAUAGAGUAACUGUUAUGCGUGUGACGGUAUCUAACCAGAAAGCCACGGCUAACUACGUGCCAGCAGCCGCGGUAAUACGUAGGUGGCAAGCGUUGUCCGGAUUUAUUGGGCGUAAAGCGAGCGCAGGCGGUCAAUUAAGUCUGAUGUGAAAGCCCCCGGCUCAACCGGGGAGGGUCAUUGGAAACUGGUUGACUUGAGUGCAGAAGAGGAGAGUGGAAUUCCAUGUGUAGCGGUGAAAUGCGUAGAUAUAUGGAGGAACACCAGUGGCGAAGGCGACUCUCUGGUCUGUAACUGACGCUGAGGCUCGAAAGCGUGGGUAGCAAACAGG